ensembl:lncRNA
AGGCUAUAUACAGAGGGUACCGGAACAGAGUCAAUGUGGAGGCUAUAUACAGGGGGUACCGGUACAGAGUCAAUGUGGAGGCUAUAUACAGAGGGUACCGGUACAGAGUCAAUGUGGAGGCUAUAUACAGGAGGUACCGGUACAGAGUCAAUGUAAAGACUAUAUACAGGGGGUAGGGGUACAGAGUCAAUGUGGAGGCUAUAAACAGAGGGUACCGGUACAGAGUCAAUGUGGAGGCUAUAUACAGAGGGUACCGGUACAGAGUCAAUGUGGAGGCUAUAUACAGAGGGUACCGGUACAGAGUCAAUGUGGAGACUAUAUACAGGGGGUACCGGUACAGAGUCAAUGUGGAGGCUAUAUACAGGGGAUACCGGUACAGAGUCAAUGUGGAGACUAUAUACAGGGGGUACCGGUACAGAGUCAAUGUGGAGGCUAUAUACAGGGGGUACCUUUACAGAGUCAAUGUGGAGACUAUAUACAGGGGGUACCGGUACAGAGUCAAUGUGGAGGCUAUAUACAGAGGGUACCGGUACAGAGUCAAUGUGGAGGCUAUAUACAGGGUGUACCGGUACAGAGUCAAUGUGGAGGCUAUAUACAGAGGGUACCGGUACAGAGUCAAUGUGGAGACUAUAUACAGGGGGUACCGGUACAGAGUCAAUGUGGAGACUAUAUACAGGGGAUACCGGUACAGAGUCAAUGUGGAGACUAUAUACAGGGGGUACCGGUACAGAGUCAAUGUGGAGACUAUAUACAGGGG